AGUUCCAAUGGGCUGUCUCUUCUCCUUUCUCCUCCUCUCAAGAAAGAAACAGAGUCUUCUAGACCCCUCCCAAAUUCCUCGCCGCCGCCGGGAUCUCGCGUCACCGCUCUCCUCCGCUGCCUCCCGAACUUCCCUCGCUCUGGAUCCGAGCCAAGCCUCGCCGCCAAGUCCCUUGCCGCCGCCUGUGUCCUAUGUCCCCACGGCAGCCGCCGCCGCAUCGGCCCCCUUGCUCGAUGCAUCGGCUCGGCUCCAGUGCAUGACCCAGGGUCGCAUGGUGGGCUGGGCGAGCCUGCCGGCCUGCCCCGCAGCCCCCUCGCCAACAUGGGCCCAGCCGCCCCUCCUCGCCUCGCGAGGUAGCUGGAGAAGAAGCUGUCGGAUCGGAGGCUACCGCAGGACAAGAUCGUCAGCUACUGUUGUGUCUGCUUGUUGAAGAAGGGUGUGCCGGCAGGAGGAGGCACUGUUGAGAGUGCUCGAUCUGCAACAGGGCGAGCUUGGGUUGCACCGCAGACCUGGGCACGCAAGAUAUCGGAGACUGAGAGGAUAGUGCAGUAUAUAUUCUUUGUUCUCCGUUCGGAGCCUGUCCACUCAUUCCAUUUUAUGAAGGCUCUGGUUCUCAACCUCCAACAUGAUUCCCUUUCUUUCGUGCCUCCAAUGGAGGCUACCAGCGGCAAGAACUCCACGAGUCAUCCUGGCAUUGCAGAUGCAGAGCUUUCCAGGGGCGACCUAUUUGUUCCCGGCCACGCCGAUAUCAACUACCUUGAUCCACUGUGACUGUCCCCAACCAUGCUCAACUCCCUGUAAGUCAUGUUUUUCUCCUACCAGAUCAAAAAAAUUGUCAAGUUUUUGGAGUACAGUUGUGUGCCCGAUCCGUUCAUGAUUGAAAUUGUGGUCUCCUAAACAUGUGAUUUGUGAAAUUUUUAGCAACGAAUUGUUUGUGGAUCUGCAAAGUACGUUGUCAACAGUGGAUUCAGACUUCCUAUUUAAUUUUUUGCAGAAACCUGUACCAUCCCCUCAGGUCAAUAUUCAUACCCUUUUUCAUUGCCACAUUUGUCAGUUUUUUGUACUUGGGAUGAUUUGGUGCAAGGUAUAGAGGAGCAUGAUCAUGGCUAAAUAUAUUUGUAAGUAGAGAAGUUCUUGAGUCACACACUAAAGGAAGAGAGAUAAGCUUUUUCUCUUUGUUGUAUCAAGUAAUUUACUUCCCAGUCCGCUAUAUAUUAUUGUGUACUGAACGCAAUCUGAAAUAACCUCUUUUACAAAAAAAUACAUACCUGUGUGGUUGUGUGAGAUCUAUUUGGAAGUGCUAAUUGAUGAAAUGUAUGUAGCAUUAGUAAUAACCUUCUGAUGUGUGGUCACAUAUGUGAUAAUUAGUGAAAUGUUGCUUUAGAUAGUUUUUUCAUGACUUCAACAUGUGCCUUCCAUAUCCUUGAUCAUGUGAGUUCAUAUAUCAGUUUUUAACUUCUGCAAGUAAAUUUUGAUGUUGUGCAAGUUAUAUAUGAUUGGAAUCACAGGGAAAACUGUGUGAUUCUUUUCUUUCAUGAUAGUAGACUCUUAAACCUACAUGAACCAGCAUAAUUGUUGUAAACAUUAUUUAAAAACGUAUAUCUUCAUUUAUCUUAAUUAGUUUAGAUACAUGGCAGGGGAAAUUCUACUCGAAGCUCAUUGCGUCAAAUAGUCAACCAAAAGCACCACAUCGUGGGCUGGCCCACCAUGGCCGGAGAUGAGAAUGAUCGCUCAAAGUGGAGUCGGAGACGACGCGACAAAUCAUAUUUCGGUGUUUUUAGGUGAGAAGAUAGAUGAAGUGAGGGCUCAAGAGCUAAUAUUUCCGCGCUGAUGUUUUGAACAAACAAGAAAAAGAAGGAUACACUAUGCUUGACAAACGAUUCCAUGACCUGAUAGAUGCCUAUGGUAUGUAACUAUGUAAGUUGAACUAGCUGUGUGAGUUAUGCCUGACAUUUUAUUCUCUUCAUGGUGGUGCUGUGUACAGAUUCAUGCUUCUUGUUCAUAUUCAGCAAAGUCUUCAGUCAAACACCUUUACUUAAUUCUUGUUUGGUAAGAAACCUUCUAUAAGUGUGUGCUCAAAGCUCGCUAUAGUAUGUAUGUUAUUUGAAUAUAUUAUGCUAUUUAUCUUAACAUUCAAAUUUGGUGUGCCUAAAUAGCAAGAAAUGAGCAAUGUUGAAUCCUUGGAUUAAAGGCAACAUAAUAAUAUGUUUUUGGAGAUUUCUUGUUGUGCCCAUGCUAAUGAUUUGGGUGAUUUGGCGUGAGCGCAACAGCCACUGCUGCAUAUUUCACAAUUCAGAGUUAUUUGCUGCGGUGCUUGCGUGCAUUUGCCAUUGAGUAAUCCAAUGUUGAAAGGAGGCUGAAGCACGACACAUCAUUUUGCCAUAGUUUAAUGGGCUAACGGCUGAUGUGUGUAUUGCCUUCUACUUUUCAUGAGUUUGUAAAGUAUUUGUUCCUUCUAUCAAUGAAACCGACAACGGCCACUUUGGGUCAUCAAACUGAACCUAUAUUUCUAUGGAAUCUUGCGGUGAGGUUGAGGCGUCAUCAAACUGAACCUAUAUUUCUAUGGAAUCUUGCGGUGAGGUUGAGGCAUUAAUGUUCAUUGGAGUGCCAAAUUCAUGUACAUGAAAAAACUUUCUGAACUUGUAUAUAGUAUUUUAUGUAUGCAAGUUAUAUAUCCUAUAUUUUAUGCAUGUUCUUUUUUCAUCUUAAUUCUCACCCAUGGUUGGCAUUUUGGACCGUAUUAAUGCUCAUGGGCAUGGAGAUAUGAUGUUGCACGACAUGAGUAGGUGAUGGAAGAGGAGAUGUGAACAUGUUGGCCCCAUUGGAUUGAAGCCGGAGGAUGAAGUAACUUGUUGCCAUACCUCCAUUGCACAUACUCUUGGGGAUAUAUAAUGAGAUUGUGGUGUUGUCGUUCUUUCAUUAUCGAUAUUAAGGUUAGUCCAAAGUGAUAUGCUUAAUGUGUCACCAUUUCUAGCGGAAAAUGAUGUGUGCUUGAGGUCGAGCACAUGUCAAGUGAGGUGGAACAAAGACAUAGACAGAUUUGGAGUUAGGUGUCAUCACAAAUUCACUAUUGCCAGAUAUGUGGACUUGUUAGCUAUUGCCAAAUGCUCUCCGUCCCUAGCGGACACCUCGAUAUAGGACUUAGCGGACAAAGGGAAAGCCGAGUAGGAAGAACAAGUCCUCUUCCAAGGUGAAAAUGAAAGCCAGUAUGUUUGAUUGUUCCCAAUGUGUACCGAUCAAAUAUUCAAAUGCAUAACAUCAUUUUGAUCAA